rnacentral:rRNA from 1 species
CCUACGUGAGGCAGCAGUGGGGAAUAUUGCGCAAUGGGCGAAAGCCUGACGCAGCGACGCCGCGUGAGGGAUGAAGGUCUUCGGAUCGUAAACCUCUGUCAGCAGGGAAGAACGGUCACUGUGCUAAUCAGCAGUGAAUUGACGGUACCUGCAAAGGAAGCACCGGCUAACUCCGUGCCAGCAGCCGCGGUAAUACGGAGGGUGCGAGCUUUAAUCGGAAUUACUGGGCGUAAAGCGCUCGUAGGCGGUAUGUCAAGUCAAGGGUGAAAUCCCCGCGCUCAACGUGGGAACUGCCUUUGAAACUGGCAAACUGGAGUGUGUGAGAGGAUAGUGGAAUGCCAGGUGUAGGAGUGAAAUCCGUAGAUAUCUGGAGGAACAUCAGUGGCGAAGGCGACUAUCUGGCACAUAACUGACGCUGAGGAGCGAAAGCGUGGGUAGCAAACAGGAUUAGAUACCCGAGUAGUC